GAUGAACGCUGGCGGCGUGCUUAACACAUGCAAGUCGAACGGGAAUACUUUAUUGAAACUUCGGUCGAUUUAAUUAUUUCUAGUGGCGGACGGGUGAGUAACGCGUGGGUAACCUGCCUUAUACUGGGGGAUAACAGCCAGAAAUGGCUGCUAAUACCGCAUAAGCGCACAGAACCGCAUGGUUCCGUGUGAAAAACUCCGGUGGUAUAAGAUGGACCCGCGUUGGAUUAGCUAGUUGGCAGGGCAGCGGCCUACCAAGGCGACGAUCCAUAGCCGGCCUGAGAGGGUGAACGGCCACAUUGGGACUGAGACACGGCCCAGACUCCUACGGGAGGCAGCAGUGGGGAAUAUUGCACAAUGGGGGAAACCCUGAUGCAGCGACGCCGCGUGAAGGAAGAAGUAUCUCGGUAUGUAAACUUCUAUCAGCAGGGAAGAUAAUGACGGUACCUGACUAAGAAGCCCCGGCUAACUACGUG
rnacentral:rRNA from 1 species